rnacentral:rRNA from 1 species
UACGAAGGGGGCUAGCGUUGUUCGGAUUUACUGGGUUUAAAGGGAGCGCAGGCGGGCGAUCAAGUCAGUGGUGAAAUCUUUCGGCUUAACCGGAAAACUGCCAUUGAUACUGAUUGUCUUGAAUAUUGUUGAGGUAUGCGGAAUAGGUCAUGUAGCGGUGAAAUGCAUAGAUAUGACCUGGAACCCCUAUUGCGAAGGCAGCAUACUAAGCGAUGAUUGACGCUGAGGCUCGAAAGCGUGGGUAGCGAACAGG